GAUGAACGCUAGCGGCGGGCUUAACACAUGCAAGUCGAACGGUAACGGUUCCUUCGGGAAGCCGACGAGUGGCGAACGGGUGCGUAACGCGUAUGCAACCUACCUUCAACUGGGGCAUAGCCCGAAGAAAUUCGGAUUAAUACCCCAUAACCUAUCGAAUGGCAUCAGGCAGAUAGCAAAGUUUCAGCGGUUGAGAUGGGCAUGCGUCAGAUUAGCUAGUUGGUGGGUAACGCUUACCAAGGCGAUGAUCUGUAGGGGGCUCGAGACGGGUGAUCCCCCCACACUGGUACUGAGACACGGACCAGACUCCUACGGAGCAGCAGUGAGGAAUAUUGGACAAUGGAGGCAACUCUGAUCCAGCU
rnacentral:rRNA from 1 species